rnacentral:rRNA from 1 species
GAUGAACGCUGGCGGCGUGCCUAAUACAUGCAAGUCGAGCGAACAGACGAGGAGCUUGCUCCUCUGACGUUAGCGGCGGACGGGUGAGUAACACGUGGAUAACCUACCUAUAAGACUGGGAUAACUUCGGGAAACCGGAGCUACUACCGGCUAAUAUAUUGAACCGCAUGGUUCAAUAGUGAAAGACGGUUUUGCUGUCACUUAUAGAUGGAUCCGCGCCGCAUUAGCUAGUUGGUAAGGUAACGGCUUACCAAGGCAACGAUGCGUAGCCGACCUGAGAGGGUGAUCGGCCACACUGGAACUGAGACACGGUCCAGACUCCGACGGGAGGCAGCAGUAGGGAAUCUUCCGCAAUGGGCGAAAGCUUGACGGAGCAACGCCGCGUGAGUGAUGAAGGUCUUCGGAUCGUAAAACUCUGUUAUUAGGGAAGAACAAAUGUGUAAGUAACUCUGCACGUCUUGACGGUACCUAAACAGAAAGCCACGGCUAACUACGUG